rnacentral:rRNA from 1 species
AUUGAACGCUGGCGGCAGGCCUAACACAUGCAAGUCGAGCGGAUGACGGGAGCUUGCUCCUUGAUUCAGCGGCGGACGGGUGAGUAAUGCCUAGGAAUCUGCCUGGUAGUGGGGGACGACGUUUCGAAAGGAACGCUAAUACCGCAUACGUCCUACGGGAGAAAGCAGGGGACCUUCGGGCCUUGCGCUAUCAGAUGAGCCUAGGUCGGAUUAGCUAGUAGGUGAGGUAAUGGCUCACCUAGGCGACGAUCCGUAACUGGUCUGAGAGGAUGAUCAGUCACACUGGAACUGAGACACGGUCCAGACUCCUACGGGAGGCAGCAGUGGGGAAUAUUGGACAAUGGGCGAAAGCCUGAUCCAGCCAUGCCGCGUGUGUGAAGAAGGUCUUCGGAUUGUAAAGCACUUUAAGUUGGGAGGAAGGGCAGUAAGCGAAUACCUUGCUGUUUUGACGUUACCGACAGAAUAAGCACCGGCUAACUCUGUGCCAGCCGCCGCAGUAACAC